UACGUAGGGGGCAAGCGUUGUCCGGAUUUAUUGGGCGUAAAGAGCGUGUAGGCGGCUCGAUAAGUCUGCUGUGAAAGUCCAGGGCUCAACCCUGGAAGGCCGGUGGAAACUGUCGGGCUAGAGUCCGGAAGAGGCGAGUGGAAUUCCCGGUGUAGCGGUGAAAUGCGCAGAUAUCGGGAGGAACACCAAUGGCGAAGGCAGCUCGCUGGGGCGGUACUGACGCUGAGACGCGAAAGCGUGGGGAGCAAACAGG
rnacentral:rRNA from 1 species